CUUGAUCAACUGGUAUUUACGUAAUUAAGUCUAACCGAGCAAACCAAAGGUAAUUACUGAAGGAACUUGGGAACUUGUUGUCUGAUGCUGCUGGAGUGGUUAUGGUCAUGAUAAACAUUUAUAUUGAUUGGGUUUUGACACAUUUAUACACUUAUACAUUUAUGCUUCCGCUCAGUACUUUGGUUUUGGUUUAACUUUCAAACGAUACAUUUCUUUCAAUUGGGUAUUUUAUUA